rnacentral:rRNA from 1 species
AAUCAACGCUGGCGGCGUGCCUCAGACAUGCAAGUCGAACGAUUAAAGCUCUCUUCGGAGAGUGCAUAGAGUGGCGCACGGGUGAGUAACACGUAAGUAAUCUACCUUCGAGUGGGGAGUAACGUCCGGAACGGACGCUAUACCGCAUAAUGCAGCGGCAUCGCAAGAUGACAGUUGUUAAAGGAGCAAUUCGCUUGAAGAGGAGCUUGCGGCAGAUUAGCUUGUUGGUAAGGUAACGGCUUACCAAGGCUACGAUCUGUAACCGGUCUAAGAGGACGGUCGGUCACACUGACACUGAAUAACGGGU